GUGGGGAAUAUUGGACAAUGGGCGCAAGCCUGAUCCAGCCAUGCCGCGUGUGUGAAGAAGGCCUUUUGGUUGUAAAGCACUUUAAGCGAGGAGGAGGCUACUGAGAUUAAUACUCUUGGAUAGUGGACGUUACUCGCAGAAUAAGCACCGGCUAACUCUGUGCCAGCAGCCGCGGUAAUACAGAGGGUGCGAGCGUUAAUCGGAUUUACUGGGCGUAAAGCGUGCGUAGGCGGCUUUUUAAGUCGGAUGUGAAAUCCCUGAGCUUAACUUAGGAAUUGCAUUCGAUACUGGGAAGCUAGAGUAUGGGAGAGGAUGGUAGAAUUCCAGGUGUAGCGGUGAAAUGCGUAGAGAUCUGGAGGAAUACCGAUGGCGAAGGCAGCCAUCUGGCCUAAUACUGACGCUGAGGUACGAAAGCAUGGGGAGCAAACAGGAUUAGAUACCCUGGUAGUCC
rnacentral:rRNA from 1 species